rnacentral:rRNA from 1 species
UACGAAGGGGGCUAGCGUUGCUCGGAAUCACUGGGCGUAAAGCGCACGUAGGCGGACUCUUAAGUCGGUGGUGAAAUCCUGGAGCUCAACUCCAGAACUGCCUUCGAUACUGAGAGUCUCGAGUCCGGGAGAGGUGAGUGGAACUGCGAGUGUAGAGGUGAAAUUCGUAGAUAUUCGCAAGAACACCUGUGGCGAAAGCGGCUCACUGGACCACAACUGACGCUGAGGCGCGAAAGCUAGGGGAGCAAACAGG